rnacentral:lncRNA from 1 species
AUCCUUUAAAAUGUUCUACUCUGAGAAGUUUAAGAUGAAUUCUUGUUUUAUAAGACCUGGCCCGCAGCAAAAUCCUCUGGAUUUCAUGGCUCAAGUCAAUGAGAAUCAGUGCAAUGAGAAUUUACAACACUGGCCAGAAAGGUGUAUCAACUAUUCCCAAAAAUGUCAUGCAAGAUCCAUCUGCUUUGUGAUUACCACACCCCAAACCUCUAUAAAGAACCUGAAAUAUUUCACCACUGAUGCAUUUCCACAGUACUAACUCAUACGAGUUCUUCGCAUGAAUGAUAAACCAUAGCCUCCUUCAGGAAAUGUUCACGGCCUGCUUUCACCUUCAAUAUGGAUUAUGAUGUCUCCUUUUUGCAUGUAUCUGCCUACUUUGAUGAGAUAAUUACUUGUAUGUCUUCUCCAGACAACAGUGCUUUUUAAAGAGCAGAACUGGUCUUCAGCAUAUGUAUCUGACAAGAAAGUGUCUCCUAAGAAAUGGAAAAUAAAACAAAUGCUAC